CCUACGGGUGGCAGCAGUGAGGAAUAUUGGUCAAUGGCCGGAAGGCUGAACCAGCCAAGCCGCGUGAAGGACGAAGGUGCCAAGCAUUGUAAACUUCUUUUGACAAGGGACAAAAUAAGGCGAGAGAGCCUGACCGAGGGUACUUGAAGAAAAAGCAUCGGCUAACUACGUGCCAGCAGCCGCGGUAAGACGGAGGAUCCGAGCGUUAUCAGGAUUUAUUGGGGUUAAAGGGUGCGUAGGCGGCCUUUUAAGUCAGAGGUGAAAGUCUGUGGAUCAACCAUAGAAUUGCCGUUGAAACUGGUAGGCUUGAGUAUGUUUGAGGCAGGCGGAAUGCGUAGUGUAGCAGUGAAAUGCUUAGAUAUCACGAAGAACUCCGAUUGCGAAGGCAGCUUACUAAGCUGCCACUGACAUUGAUGCUCGAAAGUGUGGGUAUCAAACAGGAUUAGAUACCCCUGUAGUC
rnacentral:rRNA from 1 species